GAACGCUGGCGGCGUGCCUAAUACAUGCAAGUAGAACGCUGAAGAGAGGAGCUUGCUCUUCUUGGAUGAGUUGCGAACGGGUGAGUAACGCGUAGGUAACCUGCCUUGUAGCGGGGGAUAACUAUUGGAAACGAUAGCUAAUACCGCAUAACAAUGGAUGACACAUGUCAUUUAUUUGAAAGGGGCAAAUGCUCCACUACAAGAUGGACCUGCGUUGUAUUAGCUAGUAGGUGAGGUAACGGCUCACCUAGGCGACGAUACAUAGCCGACCUGAGAGGGUGAUCGGCCACACUGGGACUGAGACACGGCCCAGACUCCUACGGGAGGCAGCAGUAGGGAAUCUUCGGCAAUGGGGGCAACCCUGACCGAGCAACGCCGCGUGAGUGAAGAAGGUUUUCGGAUCGUAAAGCUCUGUUGUAAGUCAAGAACGAGUGUGAGAGUGGAAAGUUCACACUGUGACGGUAGCUUACCAGAAAGGGACGGCUAACUACGUGCCAGCAGCCGCGGUAAUACGUAGGUCCCGAGCGUUGUCCGGAUUUAUUGGGCGUAAAGCGAGCGCAGGCGGUUUGAUAAGUCUGAAGUUAAAGGCUGUGGCUCAACCAUAGUUCGCUUUGGAAACUGUCAAACUUGAGUGCAGAAGGGGAGAGUGGAAUUCCAUGUGUAGCGGUGAAAUGCGUAGAUAUAUGGAGGAACACCGGUGGCGAAAGCGGCUCUCUGGUCUGUAACUGACGCUGAGGCUCGAAAGCGUGGGGAGCGAACAGGAUUAGAUACCCUGGUAGUCCACGCCGUAAACGAUGAGUGCUAGGUGUUGGAUCCUUUCCGGGAUUCAGUGCCGCAGCUAACGCAUUAAGCACUCCGCCUGGGGAGUACGACCGCAAGGUUGAAACUCAAAGGAAUUGACGGGGGCCCGCACAAGCGGUGGAGCAUGUGGUUUAAUUCGAAGCAACGCGAAGAACCUUACCAGGUCUUGACAUCCCGAUGCUAUUUCUAGAGAUAGAAAGUUACUUCGGUACAUCGGUGACAGGUGGUGCAUGGUCGUCGUCAGCUCGUGUCGUGAGAUGUUGGGUUAAGUCCCGCAACGAGCGCAACCCCUAUUGUUAGUUGCCAUCAUUCAGUUGGGCACUCUAGCGAGACUGCCGGUAAUAAACCGGAGGAAGGUGGGGAUGACGUCAAAUCAUCAUGCCCCUUAUGACCUGGGCUACACACGUGCUACAAUGGUUGGUACAACGAGUUGCGAGUCGGUGACGGCAAGCUAAUCUCUUAAAGCCAAUCUCAGUUCGGAUUGUAGGCUGCAACUCGCCUACAUGAAGUCGGAAUCGCUAGUAAUCGCGGAUCAGCACGCCGCGGUGAAUACGUUCCCGGGCCUUGUACACACCGCCCGUCACACCACGAGAGUUUGUAACACCCGAAGUCGGUGAGGUAACCUUUUGGAGCCAGCCGCCUAAGGUGGGAUAGAUGAUUGGGGUGA
rnacentral:rRNA from 1 species